GAUGAACGCUGGCGGCGUGCUUAACACAUGCAAGUCGAACGAAGCACUUAUCUUUGGUUCUUCGGAUGAAGAGGUUUGUGACUGAGUGGCGGACGGGUGAGUAACGCGUGGGUAACCUGCCUCAUACAGGGGGAUAACAGUUAGAAAUGACUGCUAAUACCGCAUAAGACCACAGAGCCGCAUGGCUCAGUGGGAAAAACUCCGGUGGUAUGAGAUGGACCCGCGUCUGACUAGGUAGUUGGUGGGGUAACGGCCUACCAAGCCAACGAUCAGUAGCCGACCUGAGAGGGUGACCGGCCACAUUGGGACUGAGACACGGCCCAAACUCCUACGGGAGGCAGCAGUGGGGAAUAUUGCACAAUGGGGGAAACCCUGAUGCAGCGACGCCGCGUGAGCGAAGAAGUAUUUCGGUAUGUAAAGCUCUAUCAGCAGGGAAGAAAAUGACGGUACCUGACUAAGAAGCACCGGCUAAAUACGUGCCAGCCGCCGCGGUAACAC
rnacentral:rRNA from 1 species